UGGAAUGAAUGAACUGAAUCA
rnacentral:misc_RNA from 1 species